ACGGGAGGCAGCAGUGGGGAAUAUUGCACAAUGGGCGAAAGCCUGAUGCAGCGACGCCGCGUGAGUGAUGAAGUAUUUCGGUAUGUAAAGCUCUAUCAGCAGGGAAGAAAAUGACGGUACCUGACUAAGAAGCCCCGGCUAACUACGUGCCAGCAGCCGCGGUAAUACGUAGGGGGCAAGCGUUAUCCGGAUUUACUGGGUGUAAAGGGAGCGUAGGUGGCAAGGCAAGCCAGAAGUGAAAAUCCGGGGCUCAACCCCGGAACUGCUUUUGGAACUGUCUAGCUAGAGUGCAGGAGAGGUAAGCGGAAUUCCUAGUGUAGCGGUGAAAUGCGUAGAUAUUAGGAGGAACACCAGUGGCGAAGGCGGCUUACUGGACGGUAACUGACGUUGAGGCUCGAAAGCGUGGGGAGCAAACAGGAUUAGAUACCCUGGUA
rnacentral:rRNA from 1 species